rnacentral:snRNA from 1 species
CAGGUUACCUGGCAGGGGAUGUUUCCCCAGGAUGAGGCUCUGCCAUUGCACUCUGACUGUACUGACCCCUGUGAUUUCCCCAAAUGUAGGAAACUUAACUGCAUAAGCUUGGC